UUUGCCUAUUUCAAAAAUAAAUUCUUUCUUAGGAUUUAUUAUAUAGAAAGUCUUCCAAAAUACGUAAAAUCCACGUCGUUCGUUAGUUUUCAGAGUAAUAACCAUUUAAAAAUAUCGAUUAAACUAAUAAAAGCAUGUCAA